rnacentral:misc_RNA from 1 species
GAUGAAGAACGUAGCGAAAUGCGAUAAGUAAUGUGAAUUGCAGAAUUCAGUGAAUCAUCGAAUCUUUGAACGCACAUUGCGCCCGCCAGUAUUCUGGCGGGCAUGCCUGUCUGAGCGUCAUUUCAACCCUCAUGCCCCUAGGGCGUGGUGUUGGGGAUCGGCCAAAGCCCGCGAGGGACGGCCGGCCCCUACAUCUAGUGGCGGACCCGUCGUGGCCUCCUCUGCGAAGUAGUGAUAUUCCGCAUCGGAGAGCGACGAGCCCCUGCCGUUAAACCCCCAACUUUCCAAGGUUGACCUCAGAUCAGGUAGGAAUACCCGCUGAACUUAAGCAUAUCAAUAAGCGGAGGA